rnacentral:misc_RNA from 1 species
UAUCCGUAGGUGAACCAGCGGAAGGAUCAUUCACAAUGAGUGUUUUAUGGCACUCUUUAAAAAUCCAUAUCCACCUUGUGUGCAAUGUUUGUUGGGAGAGAGGCAACUCUUUCCCUUCGCAAAUAUCAACCUAUAUCUUUAACAACAUUCGUCUGAUAACAUAUUAUGAAUAUACUUAAUUCAAAAUAUAACUUUCAACAACGGAUCUCUUGGCUCUC